rnacentral:rRNA from 2 species
UGGGCGUAAGCGCGCGCAGGCGGUUUCUUAAGUCUGAUGUGAAAGCCCACGGCUCUACCGUGGAGGGUCAUUGGAAACUGGGGAACUUGAGUGCCCAAGAGAAAAGCGGAAUUCCACGUGUAGCGGUGAAAUGCGUAGAGAUGUGGAGGAACACCAGUGGCGAAGGCGGCUUUUUGGUCUGUAACUGACGCUGAGGCGCGAAAGCGUGGGGAGCAAACAGGAUUAGAUACCCUGGUAGUCCACGCCGUAAACGAUGAGUGCUAAGUGUUAGAGGGUUUCCGCCCUUUAGUGCUGCAGCUAACGCAUUAAGCACUCCGCCUGGGGAGUACGGUCGCAAGACUGAAACUCAAAGGAAUUGACGGGGGCCCGCACAAGCGGUGGAGCAUGUGGUUUAAUUCGUUGUUACGCGAAGAACCUUACCAGGUCUU